GGAUCGAUGCUGACUUCCAUAUAUCCAUUCCUUGGAAAGCUGAACAAAAUGAGUGAAAACUCUAUACUGUCAUUCUAGUCGAACUGAGAUCC
ensembl:snoRNA SNORD116 Small nucleolar RNA SNORD116